CCUUCUUUAAAAGCACUCGAUGGGUCCUUUGCUAAUGACUCAUUGGUCUGUCAAGAAGGGGCAAAAUAGCCGGGCUCGGUGGCUCAGCCUGUAAUCCCACGCCUUUGGGAGGCUGAGGUGAGUGGA
rnacentral:snoRNA from 1 species